GCUGGGAACAGAUCACAUGGGCAUCAUCACCUCUCUCCGUGAGCUGUCAUACAUUCCAGUAUAAGAGACUAGAUGUUAGUCUAGCCAGAGUGCCUACAGCCCAAUGUGCCUACAGGUCAGAGUACCUACAGCCCAAUGUGCCUACAGGCCAGAGUACCUACAGCCCAAUGUGCCUACAGGUCAGAGUACCUACAGCCCAAUGUGCCUACAGGCCAGAGUACCUACAGCCCAAUGUGCCUACAGGUCAGAGUGCCUACAGACCAGAGUGCCUACAGCCCAAUGUGCCUGCAACAGCAUGUGCAGGGAUGUUCUUCCGUACCCUAUCUCUUCACAAGGAUGAACUAACCAACGCACUAACAUUAUCAUGUUCGACCUCAUGAAUUAAAAAUACCAUUCCUUUCAAA